GUGCUUGCUAUAGUGGCACAUAUACUAAAAUUGGGUCGAUACAGAGAAGAUUAGCAUGGCCCCUGUGAAAAGGA
ensembl:snRNA U6 U6 spliceosomal RNA